UUGUAGUUUUAAAUAAUUUUCUUAAAAACUGAUAUUUCUAGAAAGUUUUCAUUUUAUAGAUAAAUAUUGUAGAUUUGGGUUUGUGAUUUAUAAAUUAGGGUAACAAUAAUAUUUGUGGAUAGAUGAGUAUCAUUUAAGAAUUUUUCAUCAAUGUGUUGUAUUUUUAAAUAAUUUUCUUAAAAAAUGCUAUUUCUGAAAAGUUUUCAUUUUGUAGAUAAAUAUUGUAGAUUUGGGUUUGUGAUUUAGAAAUUAGGAUAACUAGACUAUUUGUGGACAGAUGUAUACUCUUUAAGAAAUUUUCAUCAAUAUGUUGUAUUUUAAAAUAAUUUUCUUAAAAACUGAUAUUUUUGGAAAGUUUUCAUUUUAUAGAUAAAUAUUGUAGAUUUGGGUUUGUGAUUUAUAAAUUAGGGUAACAAUAAUAUUUGUGGAUAGAUGAGUAUCAUUUAAGAAUUUUUCAUCAAUGUGUUGUAUUUUUAAAUAAUUUUCUUAAAAAAUGCUAUUUCUGAAAAGUUUUCAUUUUGUAGAUAAAUAUUGUAGAUUUGGGUUUGUGAUUUAGAAAUUAGGAUAAAUAGACUAUUUGUGGACUGAUGAAUACUCUUUAAGAAUUUUUUAUCAAUAUGUUGUAUUUUUAAAUAAUUUUCUGAAAAACUGCUAUUUUUGAAAAGUUUUCAUUUUAUAGAUAAAUAUUGUAGAUUUGGAUUUGUGAUUUAGAAAUUAGGAUAACUAGACUAUUUGUGGACAGAUGUAUACUCUUUAAGAAAUUUUCAUCAAUAUGUUGUAUUUUAAAAUAAUUUUCUUAAAAACUGAUAUUUUUGGAAAGUUUUCAUUUCUUUGAUAAAUAUUGUAGAUUUGGGUUUGUGAUUUAGAAAUUAGGAUAAAUAGACUAUUUGUGGACUGAUGAAUACUCUUUAAGAAUUUUUUAUCAAUAUGUUGUAUUUUUAAAUAAUUUUCUGAAAAACUGCUAUUUUUGAAAAGUUUUCAUUUUAUAGAUAAAUAUUGUAGAUUUGGAUUUGAGAAUUAGAAAUUAGGAUAACUAGACUAUUUGUGGCAGAUGAAUACUCUUUAAAAAAUUUUCAUCAACAGGUUGUAUUUUUAAAUAAUUUUCUUAAAAGCUGCUAUUUCUGAAAAGUUUACAUUUUUUUUGAGAAAUACUAUAGAUUUGACUUUGUGAUUUAUAAAUUAAGAUAACAAUAAUAUUUGUGGAUAGUUUAGUAGUUUUUUAGAAAUUUUCAUCAACAAGUUGUAUUUUAAAUAAUUUUCUUAAAAACUUCUAUUUUUGGAAUU
rnacentral:lncRNA from 1 species